GAUGAACGCUAGCGGCAGGCUUAAUACAUGCAAGUCGAGGGGCAGCACGAAUAGCAAUAUUUGGUGGCGACCGGCGCACGGGUGCGUAACACGUAUACAACCUACCUAUAACAGGGGGAUAGCCUUUCGAAAGAGAGAUUAAUACCCCGUAAUAAAUUGAGUGGCAUCACUUGAUUUUGAAAGCUACGGCGGUUAUAGAUGGGUAUGCGUCUGAUUAGCUAGUUGGUGAGGUAACGGCUCACCAAGGCGACGAUCAGUAGGGGAUCUGAGAGGACUAACCCCCACACUGGUACUGAGACACGGACCAGACUCCUACGGGAGCAGCAGUAAGGAAUAUUGGUCAAUGGAGGCAACUCUGAACCAGCCAUGCCGCGUGCAGGAUGACGGCCCUAUGGGUUGUAAACUGCUUUUGACCAGAGAAAACCUACUCACGUGUGAGUAGCUGAUAGUAUGGUAAGAAUAAGCAAUCGGCUAACUUCGUGCCAGCACG
rnacentral:rRNA from 1 species